rnacentral:rRNA from 1 species
UACAGGGGUGCAAACGUUGCUCGGAAUUAUUGGGCGUAAAGCGCGCGUAGGCGGCUACUUAUGUCGGAUGUGAAAGCCCUUGGCUCAACUGAGGAAGUGCACCCGAAACUGAGUAGCUGGAGUACGAAAGAGGGUCGCGGAAUUCCCGGUGUAGAGGUGAAAUUCGUAGAUAUCGGGAGGAACACCAGUGGCGAAGGCGGCUUACUGGUCCGGUUCU